AUAGGUAUAGCUCAGUGGUAGAGUGCAGCUUAGUUAGCAGGCACAAGGUCCUGGGUUCAAUCCCCAGUACCUCCA
rnacentral:tRNA from 1 species